rnacentral:rRNA from 1 species
GGACAUACCUCUGGUGUACCAGUUGUCGUGCCAACGGCAUAGCUGGGUAGCUAUGUGUGGACGGGAUAAGUGCUGAAAGCAUCUAAGCAUGAAGCCCCCCUCAAGAUGAGAUUUCCCAACUUCGGUUAUAAGAUCCCUCAAAGAUGAUGAGGUUAAUAGGUUCGAGGUGGAAGCAUGGUGACAUGUGGAGCUGACGAAUACUAAUCGAUCGAAGACUUAAUCAAAA